rnacentral:rRNA from 1 species
CCUACGGGUGGCAGCAGUGGGGAAUGUUGGACAAUGGGCGCAAGCGUGAUCCAGCGACGCCGCGUGUGGGAAGACGGCCUUCGGGUUGUAAACCACUUUUGUAGGGAACGAAAAGUCUAUUGAUAAUACCGAUAGACGAUGACGGUACUCGAAGAAGAAGCACCGGCUAACUACGUGCCAGCAGCCGCGGUAAUACGUAGGGUGCGAGCGUUAAUCGGAAUUACUGGGCGGAAAGGGUGUGCAGGCGGUUUUGCAAGUUGGAUGUGAAAGCCCCGGGCUUAACCUGGGAAAGGCAUACGUGACUACAAGACUAGAGUGCGUCAGAGGGUGGUGGAAGUCCGAGUGUAGCAGUGAAAUGCGUAGAUAUUUGGAAGAACACCGAUGGCGAAGGCAGCCCCCUGGGACGCAACUGACGCUCAUACACGAAAGCGUGGGGAGCAAACAGGAUUAGAUACCCGAGUAGUC